UGCACUGCUGAGAGCGUGCAGCUAUUAUUUGUAUUGUUUGCGGUAUGCUGGAGUGCAGAAAUGACAGCACAGCAGCAAAGGCUUCCAGGAAUAAAGCGAGGCCAAGGGAAAGGCCGGGGUUCCUGCAGCCACUCACAGGCCAUGAAACCCUGCCAGCUGCAUGAGCCAUCGAGCCGUCAGACCCAUGUGGGAAGACAGCCACUCCUCCCCGCCGAGCAGCGGGCUUGCGGCUGCUCAGAUGCUUGCACAGGGUGAGAAUACAGGGAGCAGAGUUGGAGGGUGCUUUGGGCAGAAGGAAAGGGGGGAAACGUGAUGGUACAGGUCUCCGACUGAGUAGAGAGGGGAAUAGAGUUAGCAUAUUACAAGGCUUCUGGAAACACAUCUUUUCUUCCCCAGCAAGCCUAAUGUGACAGACGCUGCUCAAGCCUGGGGAAAAUGCACUGCUCCAGAGACUUUAGAGCCCAGAAGGACGGAUGGAGCGGGAGGAAAAGCGAGUGCCGGCAGUGCGCUUAGCUGCCGUGCCAGCGGUGUCACCUUACCAUGGGAUCUGCAAAAAAGCGGGGUCUGGGGGAGACGGCAGAGACGGUUCUAUCUCCUGGAGCAGAACAGCUUCUCAGAUCGAAAGGCCUUGGUUGCAGCCGGCCUGUUUACACUAACCUCCAGCCUUCUGAGCAGAGAAACAAUUCUGGGAUGCGAUCAAAGGCUGUACUAGCAUUUUUCUGGAGAGAAAGAGUGAGAACUGCUGAACUUAACACUCAGGCUCUUCAAUAGUAGCUGACUGGAGGGGCUGGCAGGCUUGCAGUUUAGGAUAAGGUUGCCAGGCAUUUAUGUUUGACCUGAUUUUCUCAGCCAGAUCGUCAGCCUACCCUCUUUCAAUGCUGAGAGCAUGAGGAGCAACAGCGUCAUUUAGAAGAGGGCCUGGGUCACUCUGGCUGAAGGGUGCGGGCUCAGCUUUGGCCUAAGACAAUAAUAACGUGUGCCCUGGGUCGAGAGCUGGCUUUGGAAACCUGAUCCGUGCAGCCCAGAGUUGCUGAAUGUUUUCUGUAAGGCUGCAACAUCAUCGUUGUCUUCAGCUGGGCUGCUCCUCGUUUGCAGCCCUGUGCAGAGUCCUGCCUUCUGUUCCUGAUCCUGUCUCUGAUUUGCUUUCUGAGCUUGCAUGCCUCACUUCCUGGCUCAGUGCCUCAGUUUCCUCAUCUGCCAAAUGGAGGAAAUAACUUCCAUCUCCUUGGGAAAAACCCUUUGAAAUCUUCAGACUCGGUGUACGUCACCCAGCGCUGGGACACUCACGGGGGUCCUUGCCUGUCACAUGUUCCUUGCAUGUGCACAGAAGCACAUGUCAAACACAGGUGAAUGGAACUGGGUAAAUAAAAUCCAGUUUCUUACUGGCA
rnacentral:lncRNA from 1 species